AAUCAACGCUGGCGGCGUGCCUCAGACAUGCAAGUCGAACGCGAAAGUCCCCUUCGGGGGAUAAGUAGAGUGGCGCACGGGUGAGUAACACGUAGGUAAUCUACCUUCGGGUGGGGAAUAACCCAGGGAAACUUGGGCUAACACCGCAUAAUGCAGCGGCACCACAUGGUGACAGUUGUUAAAGCGGGGGAUUUUAGGACCUCGCGCCUGAAGAGGAGCCUGCGGCAGAUUAGCUAGUUGGUAGGGUAACGGCUUACCAAGGCGACGAUCUGUAACCGGCCUGAGAGGGCGGUCGGUCACACUGACACUGACAUACGGGUCAGACUCCUACGGGAGGCAGCAGUCGGGAAUUUUGGGCAAUGGGCGAAAGCCUGACCCAGCAACGCCGCGUGAAGGAUGAAAUCCCUCGGGAUGUAAACUUCGCAAGAUUGGGAAGAAUUAGUAGGGGUUAAUACCCCCUAUGAUGACGGUACCUUUUGUAAGCUCCGGCUAACUCCGUGCCAGCAGCCGCGGUAAUACGGGGGGAGCAAGCGUUGUUCGGAUUUACUGGGCGUAAAGGGCGCGUAGGCGGUCAGCACAAGUCAGUUGUGAAAUCUCCGGGCUUAACCCGGAGCGGCCAAGUGAUACUGUCGUGCUAGAGUGCGGAAGGGGCUACUGGAAUUCUCGGUGUAGCGGUGAAAUGCGUAGAUAUCGAGAGGAACACCUGCGGCGAAGGCGGGUAGCUGGGCCGACACUGACGCUGAGGCGCGAAAGCCAGGGGAGCGAACGGGAUUAGAUACCCCGGUAGUCCUGGCCUUAAACGAUGGAUACUUGGUGUCCGGGGUUACAUAGUCCCCGGGUGCCGGCGCUAACGCAUUAAGUAUCCCGCCUGGGGAGUACGGUCGCAAGACUGAAACUCAAAGGAAUUGACGGGGGCCCGCACAAGCGGUGGAGCAUGUGGUUUAAUUCGACGCAACGCGAAGAACCUUACCCAGGCUCGAACGGCAGCUGACAUCCUACGAAAGUAGGCUCCCGCAAGGGCAGCUGUCGAGGUGCUGCAUGGCUGUCGUCAGCUCGUGUCGUGAGAUGUUGGGUUAAGUCCCGCAACGAGCGCAACCCUUGUCUUCUGUUGCCAUCGGGUUAUGCCGGGCACUCUGAAGAGACUGCCGGUGACAAACCGGAGGAAGGUGGGGAUGACGUCAAGUCAGCAUGGCCUUUAUGUCUGGGGCUACACACGUGCUACAAUGGCCGGUACAAACCGUCGCGAUGCCGUAAGGUGGAGCUAAUCGGAGAAAGCCGGUCUCAGUUCGGAUUGUCGGCUGCAACUCGCCGGCAUGAAGUUGGAAUCGCUAGUAAUCGCGGAUCAGCACGCCGCGGUGAAUACGUCCCCGGGCCUUGUACACACCGCCCGUCACAUCACGAAAGCUGGCUGUACUAGAAGUCGCUGAGCCAACCCGCAAGGGAGGCAGGCGCCUAAGGUAUGGUCAGUGAUUGGGGUG
rnacentral:rRNA from 1 species